GAACGCGAAGAACCUUACCAAGGCUUGACAUGAACCGGAAAGGCGUAGAAAUACGUCCCCCACUUGUGGUCGGUUUACAGGUGGUGCAUGGUUGUCGUCAGCUCGUGUCGUGAGAUGUUGGGUUAAGUCCCGCAACGAGCGCAACCCUCGUUCUAUGUUGCCAGCACGUGAUGGUGGGGACUCAUAGGAGACUGCCGGGGUCAACUCGGAGGAAGGUGGGGGUGACGUCAAAUCAUCAUGCCCCUUAUGUCUUGGGCUUCACGCAUGCUACAAUGGCCGGUACAAAGGGCUGCGAUACUGUGAGGUGGAGCUAAUCCCAAAAAGCCGGUCUCAGUUCGGAUUGGGGUCUGCAACUCGACCCCAUGAAGUCGGAGUCGCUAGUAAUCGCAGAUCAGCAACGCUGCGGUGAAUACGUUCCCGGGUCUUGUACACACC
rnacentral:rRNA from 1 species